GUUUCUAUGUUGUAAAUUGCACGUUAUAUUUUCAUUUUAAAGGAAUAAAGUUAUUUAUUAGAAAUA
rnacentral:tRNA from 1 species